GAGCUCCGACCGGGUGAAGCACGAGGCGAAGUUACGGCAGCAGAGCGACAUGAACGGGCUGAUAGAACCACAACUACCGGCUCCAAUACUCUAGCUCCGACCGGGUGAAGCACGAGGCGAAGUUACGGCAGCAGAGCGACAUGAACGGGCUGAUAGAACCACAACUACCGGCUCCAAUACUCUGUUUCUGUGGGUGGUGGUUGCAUCCGAUGGAGGUUACAUCUGAUGAUGGUUGUCCCUGCACUGGUCCUGCCUUACCCCAGGCUUAAUAAUCCACAAUAUUUGAAUCAUUUCUGUCGUAGGAAUUGGAUGUACUGUACAUCUUUAAGUUGUUCAUACUCUACACCAACGAUUCCCAAAGUGUGGGAGCGAGCGCUCAAGCGCAUCGGAGAAACAAAACUGUCGUUCUCUCCGAGCACUUCAUGAGAUUAAAGUGCGAGAGACGGUGCCCUUUUCUUUACAGUAGCUGAACCAUCUUAACGGGGAAAUAAGUUAUUCUAAAAUUCCUUGGUAGGCGGCGUGGCUGGAGAGCAGCCGAAGAUUUAAGUCGUGGAUGGCGAGGGGGGCGGCGGGAGCGGACGCACCUCGCAGUAUCGAUCGGACCCUGAAAGCACCGUCUCCACCUCUGCCAGUGUUUAUAUGGGAGGGGCUACACACACACACGCAUAUGGAAAUGUAUUUGUGUGUCUUCUUAGGGGG
ensembl:lncRNA